ensembl:sense_intronic
AAAUAGUGUUUUAAAUUUUUCCAAAAAGAGAACACCAUCCAUAUUUUGGAUACUAAGAAUUAGAAUAUGCUGUUAUCAAGUAUAUUGGCAGGGCACAGAAGCACUUAUACUUUGGUCAAAGAGAAAAAGUAAGGCAUAAGAUUGUGAGGAGACAUGGCCAGAUUUAAAUUCUAGAUUCUAAUUUCUAAGUGGCAAAAUUCAAAACAUCAUUCUUCUCCCUUCAAAAUCACACAAAUGUGCUAGGACAAAAGACAAAGAAUAUAGUCCUCGUGUCAAAGAAAGCAGGAAAUGUAUGUAACCCCAAGCCCCCAAAUAUGUUGAAGGGCCAGAGAAACGCACAUAAUAAGAAUGCCCAUGGCUGUACAUCUCAAACAGAAAUGACAGAGUUCUCAGAGAAGCAAAGCCAACAAUGUCCACAGGCACAUCUUAGGCCUUCAGUAUCCUUAAAGAAGCCCAGCAGGGGCUCAGUGAAGACUCUCCCAAAUAACAUCAAAAAUAGAGACCAAAAGGUAGAGAUUGCAUCUUUUUUUUAAAGGUCUUUCUUUUUUCUUUUCUUUUUCUUUUGUUUGUUUGUUUUUCAAGACAGGAUUUCUCUGUAUAGCCCUGGCUGUCCUAAAACUCACUCUGUAGACCAGGCAGGUGGAUCUCUGAGGUUGAGGCUAGCCAGGUCUACAAAGUGAGUUCCAUGACAGCCAGGGCUACAGAGAGAAACUCUAUCUUGGGGAAAAACAAACAAACAAACAAACAAACAAAUGUACAAAAAAAUAGAGAAUCUCCCUGACCCUGAAGAAAGCUAUUUCAGUAUAACUGAAAGAUCAGUAAGCCUCCAGGAUUCUCCUGCCUGCUGUCCAUGCUGAUACUCACUCAGCAGUACCCACUGUGGAUGCUUUUUGCAGGGAUGCUAUGGUCAGACCCAGGUCCUCACGCCUCCUUAGCAAGCAUGUGCACACUCAGCUUUUCUCCUGCCUCCAUUUCCAUCCCACAGAAACCUCAGGUUUCUUAUGGUUUGAACAAGGCCUGUAUUGUUUGUUUAUCUAAUGAACUGCUCGUUGGGAAAGAAGAAGUACACUUCAGGUCCCAUAUUACACGAGUUAAGGUUAAACAACCUCACAUAGGAGUACUCUUAUUGCUAAGACACUCAGGGUAGGGCAUGCUUUAUUAAGCAUGCUUUAUUAAGCAGAGACCUCUCAUUGUUAAAAGUGAGAUGAUUCCCUUAGAAGCUAUACACACUGCCAAAGGGAAUUAUGACUGAGAACAUGUUUUUGGUGAAUAGAUGCCAAAUGCCCUUCUCACCUGAUGAUUACUGUUCUAAUAUUUGCCCAUUAGCUACUUUCAGCUCAGGAAAUAGAUUAGACCCUUAAUAGCCUAUGCAAUCAGGAAAUGAGCAACAUAUUUAUAGAUUCCACUAGUGAAUUUGAAAUAAAACUUCCUGCCUUUUAAAAAUGAAGGCUCCUGCCUAGAGAGAUGGCUCACUGCUUAAACACACUUGCUGUUCUUUCAGGAGACCCCAAUUCAGUUCCCAGCACCCAUAUGAGGCAACUUACAGCCAUCCUAUAUAGAGUAACUGUAGGAACAACAUUAAGAGUAACUGUCCUAUAGACAGGCCAAAAGCAAGCCAUGCUUUUAGCUUUCGUUGGGGCCUUAAGGAUCACCAAGGCUGGUUUCCAUCUGAAGUUGACCACUGUGAAGCUCUGUGGUUUGGGAACUGUGAUAUUAAAGCAGCUGUUAGAGGACCCAGAAGGCUCGCCCAACCCUUAUACCACCUGGGUCCAAAUCUCAUCUGUCAUUUCUUAGAUUCCUGAAUUCUGCCUCUUCGGCCUUGCUUUCUGUACCUGCUAAAGACAAAAACUCUUGGGAAAGAAAAUUUAAAUGACAUAAUGUUUUUAAAAGAAAGGUUCAAGUCAAAGUGCUUUGAAAACACAUGAUUCUGAAGGUUGUAUUUUUUAAAGGUGUUGGAUUUUCUCUCUCCUGUGUAGACAAAAUGCACAUAUUUUCAUUAUAUGUAUAAAAUGUAUACUAUUGCUAUAGCCCAUUGAUAAAAAUUAUAAUAGGUUGUAAAACUACGGGCCAUUAAAAUCUUGAACCUGCAUGUAUAUCAUUAUGUAUUGCUUGUUGACUCUUUUACUCUUAACCCAGACAAUCGGACCUUCACAACAGAAUUGGGUUUUGUCAGAGGCAUUAUUAUUACUGUUAUUACUAUAAAAAAGAAAAGCACCCAACCACCCACUAUCUGAUAACAAGUGCCCCAUCCAAGGAGUUCAGUUUGAAUAAUUUGAAUAUGGCUGCUGACUUCGUUCUGUAUGAGCAGUAGCCCAGCAAGUGUCUAGUGCCAAGUUUGAUUCCCAGCACCAUACACACAGUUUGAAUAAUUCUUUCAUAAAUAGUAAUUCUUAGCAGUGUGAUUUAAAAUGCUGUAAAAGAAGUUUAAGUAGAUUUGGCUUUUCUCCCAUGCUGCUGUCUUAAAAUAAAGUAAAACGGUCACAUGGCAUAUUGAUUACAGAAUACAAGGCCAAUUACAUCCCAGAAACAAAACACUUCUUUCUCUCCCAUUAUGAUAUUCUUCACUAAUAUAAGAUGUCUCCCUGUAAUUUUUUGUAAAAGCUGGCUUCUGAUUGUCCUUUCCUGCAACCCCAACCUGGGCAACUUAGUUAUACCAUGUCUUAAAAUAAAACAACAACAACAACAACAAAAACAGUUUGAGGAUGAAGCUCAAUACUUGCCUAUUAUAGCGACCUGGGCUCAGUCUCCAUUGUUUAGGUAGGAUUUGGGGGAACACAAGGAGGAAUUCAUUUAGUGAAUAAAGGGAUUGGGAAUUGUUACCUGGUUCCAUAUACAUAUGGUUCAGAAUACAAUAAUAAAAAGUGAAAUAACUAGGCAUGGUGGCACAUGCCUGCAAUUAUAGUAUCUGGAAGCUGAGGCAGGAGGAUUGUAAGCUGAAGGCCAGACAACCUGGCAUACAGAAAUUUAUGGCAAUUUUAUGAGGGUGGGUCCAUAGCAAGAUGCCAUCUCAAAUUAAAAAAAAAAAAAAAAAGGAAAGGAAGUCUGGGGAGGUAGCUCAUUGGGUCAUAUAAGCAUGAGGGCCUGAGUUCAGAUCCUCUGGAUUUACUACAUAAAGCCACACCACAGCACUGUAAUACCAGUGUGUCUGUGGACACAUGGAAGGUAAAGAGAGGAGAAUCUUGGAGCUACACUCACAGGCCUUGAGCACACCGCACUGAUCAAUAGAUCUCAUUGAGGGGAAAGUAAAGACUGGCACCCAGGGUUGUUUUUGUUCUUCACAUGUGCUGUGGUUGUACCUCUACUCACACACAAGCACACACAUGAACAUACAUAUGUGUACAUGAUAAAACUAUCUACUCUCUAACAAUUUCAGUAGACAACAUGGUUCCAGUGAUAAUCACCAUACUAUACUUUUCAUCCUCAAAAUCUAACCAUUCAGACACAUGCCUGCUAUCUUAGUGCUUGGGAUGUGGGAACAGACUGUGUUAUAACUGAGAGUUUGUGCCCUUUGACCAAUAUCUUCCCAGUGCUCUCUACUCUCAAAGUCUGGCAACCAGCCUUCUGUGAGAUUGAUAUUCUUACAUU